AUCAAGGUCUCGCACAGAAAGACAAGGAGCAGAUGGCCGGCACCGAGCUCUCCUCCCCUUUCAGCGCGCAAAGGCAGGCAAUGUGGGAAAGCGUCUGCCCGGCAUUGCCUAUUGAUCCCUGAAUAGAACCACCGCAUGCCACCAGCCUGUAGACCCUCAGAGACAAGAGUAUGAAAGAGAAAGUAUCCUGGAUGCCCAGGAAUCCAUUGGUUCUAUUCCACUUAUUCAGAACAACCAGUGAAAACAAUGUAUAGCAAAUAAGAAUGCUAAUGGUGAAGAGCUGAAACAGACCUCUCCUUGGCUCCUGCCUCAGUAGGACAGUCGUGGUCUUUGCAGACAGAAGGACUGAUGGCCAGAACCUUUCCCUGGUACCUUGAAGCCCUGGAUUUACAACCCGCACUAUACUUCCUGGGACAAAACUGUCUGGGUCAGAGCUUGUAGGAAAGUCACGCAGAAGUCAAGUGCAGCUCAUGGUCGUCUUUUUUGUGGCUCUCUCAACUUUGUUCAUUUGGAUUCA